AACGAACGCUGGCGGCAUGCCUAACACAUGCAAGUCGAACGAGACCUUCGGGUCUAGUGGCGCACGGGUGCGUAACGCGUGGGAACCUGCCCUUAGGUUCGGAAUAACUCCCCGAAAGGGGUGCUAAUACCGGAUAAUGUCUUCGGACCAAAGAUUUAUCGCCUUUGGAUGGGCCCGCGUUGGAUUAGCUAGUUGGUAGGGUAAAAGCCUACCAAGGCGACGAUCCAUAGCUGGUCUGAGAGGAUGAUCAGCCACACUGGGACUGAGACACGGCCCAGACUCCUACGGGAAGCAGCAGUGGGGAAUAUUGGACAAUGGGCGAAAGCCUGAUCCAGCAAUGCCGCGUGAGUGAUGAAGGCCUUAGGGUUGUAAAGCUCUAUUACCCGGGAUGAUAAUGACAGUACCGGGAGAAUAAGCUCCGGCUAACUCCGUG
rnacentral:rRNA from 1 species